CAUUGAAAAGAAUAGGCCAAAAAAAUGUAGGUGUGUCACAUGUUUAGAGCCAUUAUUGUAAUGUGUUUUCCGCUGUGAGCAGUUUUGCUGCAAUCAGGUGUGAGACUGGGUUUAAGGAACGUGGUUAGUUUCAGUUUCUGAGGGUGUCUGCUCAAAAAUCGGAUAAACCGGAUUGUUGGUUUGACGAAUCCUGCGCAGCCCGCCCCCCCCUUCUGAAGUCGAAAAUAAUCUCCCGAUUGAAAUGCAUUGGUUUAAUAUUGAAUCAAUUAAAUAUUAAAAUAUACAUUAUAUAUAAAUAAAUAUACAAUUAUUUAGUUAUAAUAUUAUAAGUAGACCAUGUAGCUAUUAUCGUUAUAACAAGAUCUGUAUCUGACCAUUGACAAUCCACUUCCACCAAUCCAAUCAACGAAGAGGGUUGUAACACCAAGUAACACGGUGUGCUUUUUCUAUGGGGAAUGUGGUUCAGGUAUGACAAUAUUUAAAUAUUUAUAAUAUAAAAAACUAGCCUAUACGUAGGCCUACAGCAUAUCAUACAUUUGACAUAUAGAGUAAGACUAUUAUAUGUAUAAGGUUAUAGGCCGAAUUCGGUUAAAAUGCAGCCUCUGCUGGCCCACAACUAGAUUGUCUCGUUGUCUGUUAUACGCUUUAUAAGUUAAUUAUAUUUAAAUUAUUAUAACCAUGGCUGUAGUGGUCAAAUUAGAGGUGGGUAAACUAUGAAUUCUGUGAUCAGACCGACCUCGACACAACGCAACGCAAAGUGUUGCGACUCUGUAUGGCUAGCCUGGCUAUAUUCCAUUAUGUUAUCAAUUAAAGUCAUAUUAAAUCAAUCAAUGACAGUCAA